UCCCGAGAAAGGCAAAACCCAAGUAAUUGGGCGACGCAAAGUUACGGGUCCCUAGCGGAUCGCCGAACUGCCGAA
rnacentral:ncRNA from 1 species